CAACGGCGCCUUUUGACUUAACGUAUAAGCAAGUAGUUGGGGUCGGUUAUAAAAUAAUAACAACAACAAUACUAAUUCAAAUUGUUAAAUCACAGACUCCAAUGAAAAUUAAAAUUGUUAAAUCACAGACUCCAAUUAAAAUUAUUACUAUGUGUACCAAUUUAAUCAGGAAAGUUAAGAGAGCUCGAUACAAUCUUCACACAAACGAGUAGUUUUGUUUCAGUGUUUUGUUAUGAAUGAAUUCGAUUACUUGUAUUUUUACUUUUUUUUGUAAACUGAUUACUUGUAUUUUUAUAGUUUAAUAUAAGUAAAUAUAAGUGUCAAUAUCCAACACAAUAUAUGAAUGUUUACUUUCGACGUAGCUUUUUUUUUUUUUUUUUUUGAACUUACUUUCGACGUAGCUUUCCAACUCAUCUUGCGACAACUAACUUUAGCAAUACUCAUGAUCCGAGUAAUCUUUGUUCACAGCUCCUGUUUUCAAGAGAAACAAGAUUUUGAUUUUGUUUAACAAAAAUUAGCUUAUCCAAAUUUUUGUAAUAGUAUAUGGUCUUUUUAUUUUCAGAAAACUUAAUUUCAUUACCAUACGUUCAUAAUUGUUUUUUUUUUUUCGUCUAUUGAUUUUAUUUUAAGCUCAAACGAGCAAAGGAGUUAAAUUUACAACAGAAACAACAAACCACCUAUUAAAACAUCACAUACAACCAUUUGAACAAACUGCUCGUAGAAAACCCCAAAAAUAACCCAAACAAAAGAUCAAAUAAAACCAGUCUUGAUCUUACCAAAAAACCACCUUGCCUACCACCACUACGAGGCGAAACCCAUAGAAGAAAGGCAUUCCUCAUACUGAAAGAGAUGGAGAAGCCAAAAAAGAGCACCAGCAGCUACAUAAGACUGAGAAUAGCCACCUUUGAUCACACUUUGAGCGAUGAGGAAGGCUCCUCUAUUGGAAGAUCUUUCUUCUUUUUGCAACCUCCAUCACUCAAAUUUUUCCAACCUCUUCAUAAUCUCAAUAUAUUGGCAUCUAAAGCUUGGCCAAGCCUUUGGUUGUUAUUUUACAUUGUUAUUGAUUGUUUUGUUGUUUAGUUAAUUUAGCUAGUUAACUAUUAUUUGUGUACCAAGUUGAAUUGUGUGAUGAAUAGAGAGUCUAUCCAUGAGUUCCAUCUCUAUUUAAAGAUUACUUUGGAUUCUUACAUAGGCUUGGAAUACCUUUACAUUAAUAUAAAAGAAAAGAUUAUAAGGUUAAGAGCUCACCUUCAUUGAUUAUUUUUUGUUAUGUACCUCAUCAUGUGCAUGUGUUAUACUGUAUGUGGUUCUAGAGCACAAAACCUGUAGUACAAAUGAUCAUUUUGUUACCACACUUCACAAAACUUUAAUCUCACAAAAAUUCUAAAAUUUAUGAUUUUCACCAACCCAGACUAGAAAGUGCAAAAUUGCCAAAAUUAGGGUUGACAUUUGGAUUAUAUCUAUAAGUAGAUGAUAUUAUUUGAAUUAAAACAUUACUUAAGCUAGUUUCUAGAAUAAAACUUUAAUUUAAAUAUUUUGGCUUUCAAUAAACAUAUAUGCGUUUUAAAUGUGAUUUUAUAAAUUUUAAAUGGACCUAAUAUAUUUUUUCACCCAAAAUAAAAAAUCUAUUACUAAGUCAUCGUGGAAAAGUCAAAAGGAAUGUUAUUCCCCACCCCCAAAAACAAAGAAAAAAAAAAGAGAAUUGAAAAUAGAGCGGUAAACUGAGAGAAAUCUGCAUGGCCACACCAACACACGAAUUUCCCGUUGCAAAUUAAUCCAAGUUGAAGAACAAAACUUAGUUUUGUUCCAAGUUAAACUAUAUAUAACUACUUUCAUAAGUAGUGCUUAAUACAUUUUUUUUACUUUUGAUUACGAAGACAACAAAAUGGAUACUACACAUAGCUGUCGUCGAGGCUACAUCUUGCUUCUAGUUCUAUCUUAUUCCUCUGUGUUUGGUUUAGCUUCCAAUAUGAGUAUUUCUAAUGAUACAAGCGGCAACAAAACCGACAGUUUCUUUGAAUCUCAAAGUACUUCCACUGAAUGGGGCACAGACAUGGGCGACAAAUAUAUUAUGUGUACAGAAUCUAAUAUGGAAAUUCCAUGGAUGAUUUCUUGCAAAAAAUCUAAAGAAGUUUUUACAAGGAUCAAUUUUGCUGAUUAUGGAAAUCCUUCGGGUAAGUGUGAACAUUAUAGACACGGAAACUGCGGUGCAAAAACUACUAUGGAAGUCGCCAAAAAGAAUUGUCUUGGAAAACACCAGUGUGUGUUUAAGGUGUCGGACGAGAUGUUUGGUACAAGUCACUGCAAAAAAGAGGCUAAGUUCUUUGUUCAACUCACUUGUACAAAAGCUUAAGUUUCUUAGUUGCUCCUUAAUUAAUAAGGUCUUUAAGAAAAUGGUUGCGUGGUUUAUUUUCUUGUAAUGAUCAAGCUCUUGUUGAUUAUUAAAGGAAUGUCCGAUAUAAGUUAUCUAUUCUAUUUGUUAUUUUGCAAUAACUAUUGACGUUGAUGCACCCAUCGUAAACGACUUUAGAGCAUGAUUAACCCAAAAAACCUAUCUACUCUAUUAAAAUAGAGUCUUACUUUUUAUCUACUAUAGAAAAGUUGUCAUUAAGUUUUGGACCUAUUCUAAUAGAGUUUUAUUAAUCUAAAUAUAAAUAUACUCAACUCUAUUAAUUUGGCAAAUCAUUAUCUGUUACUAGUGGCUGAGCCUCCGCACAAGCGCAGGGUAGUGGACAUUGUUGCUCUCUCAGUGAAUGCAUGUGAUACCAUGUUUGUAAAGUUUGUUUUUUUUUUCCUGUGGUCAUUGAUUUUCAAAGAUUUGAAUUGUAGUAGGGUUGAGGUGUGUUAUGAAUUGUGCUUUUUUUGCGGUUGGUGUUGUUUAUUAGUUGCUUAACAUAGUCGUUUACGCGGUGAAGUUUAUUUAUGUGUUAUUUAUUUUCAAAUAAUGAUUAUAAUUCUAAUUUUGUAAGAUAUUUCUGUUUUUCUAUUUAUCUAAUUUGUGAUUAGCCAUUAGGUGUAAGUGUUUUUGGGCCUUUACGGACCAAAAAUGUAGUGAAAAUAUUGUCAAAAACAAAAUUGUAGGUUAGGAUACCGUAACCGGACAGAUGGUGGUGAUUUUGCCGCUUUUUUUUUUUUUUUUUUUUUGCUAAACUGUAAAUGUUCAUUAAUGAAAAUAAAAGGAUACAAGUUCUUUAAGAUCCAAAAAAAGUGAAAAAAUCUUAAAGGACAACCAUUAGGAUUAAAACUACAAGUCUUAAUGCUAAAAACAUGAUCUACAACCGGUUAGGAAAUCCGACGACGCCAUAGAACACGAACCCUAGUUUUCCGACGACGCUUCAAAGUACGAACCCUAGUCUCCCGACGACGCUUUGAGCAAGACCGAAGCAUACUCUCAGCACGAACCCAGCAGAGACUGACGACACUUAUCCUCAGCACGAACCCAGCGAAAACCGACGACGCUCUAAGACACGAACCCAGCAAAAUCCUUGAACAUUCAAAGCACCGAUCUUAACGUGUACGAGCACCCCGACUCGACACAAACAAGGACAAGACGGGCCGAGAUAUAGGCGUCCUUGCAAAGAGCUCAAAUCAAAACCUAUAAGCUGUAGAAAAAGCCAUAACUACUGCAGCUAGUCAAUAAACAAGCCGCAGCACUGCGAAAUCAUGGCGUAACGUCUGAAGCCUUCAAGUUUCUUUGGAACCUGCUGACCACCGCAAGCGACGAAGAGAACUUGCCAAACGCCGAGACCGAGAACCGGGACUCGGUUCCACAGCUUCUCAAGCGACCUGAAUCACGCGAAGGCCUCCGAGAGAACAAAUCAGAGAGAGAUUGGGAUCCAAGCACGAGCAAGAACAAUGCCAGAGCAGAGCAAGGAAAGCGUCGACAUGAAAGGGACUGUCAACAACGCCAUAGACGACGUCAAGAGACAGCACCAGCCCACAGUCCACACGCUUGAAACCGGAUGAGAAGGAGGAGACACGCGAAACCUACCACUCUCUGGUGGCGCCACCAUUUGAAGGAUGAGACCAACAGUGACUUUCCUGGCCGGAAGCGGAAGAAGAACCUCUCCAAGACGCCAAGGACAGAGGCCAAGAACAAACCGCAAACACCGACCCAACUUGCUGGAGAAA